AGGGAUUGCCCUAGUAACGGCGAGUGAAGCGGCAACAGCUCAAAUUUGAAAUCUGGCCCUUUCAGGGUCCGAGUUGUAAUUUGUAGAGGAUGCUUUUGGGCAGCCACCGGUCUAAGUUCCUUGGAACAGGACGUCAUAGAGGGUGAGAAUCCCGUAUGUGACUGGACAGGCACCCUUUGUAAAGCUCCUUCGACGAGUCGAGUUGUUUGGGAAUGCAGCUCUAAAUGGGAGGUAAAUUUCUUCUAAAGCUAAAUACCGGCCAGAGACCGAUAGCGCACAAGUAGAGUGAUCGAAAGAUGAAAAGCACUUUGGAAAGAGAGUUAAAAAGCACGUGAAAUUGUUGAAAGGGAAGGGCUUGCAAUUAGACUUGCCCGCAGUUGUUCAGCUGGUCUUCUGACCGGUUUAUUCUUCUGCGGGCAGGCCAGCAUCAGUUUCGGCGGCCGGAUAAAGGCUCUGGGAAUGUGGCUGUCCUUCGGGGCAGUGUUAUAGCCCAGGGUGUAAUACGGCCAGCCGGGACUGAGGUCCGCGCUUCGGCUAGGAUGCUGGCGUAAUGAUUGUAAGCCGCCCGUCUUGAAACACGGACCAAGGAGUCUAACAUCUAUGCGAGUGUUAGGGUGUCAAACCCUUACGCGUAAUGAAAGUGAACGGAGGUGGGAACCCGCAAGGGUGCACCAUCGACCGAUCCUGAUGUCUUCGGAUGGAUUUGAGUAAGAGCAUAGCUGUUGGGACCCGAAAGAUGGUGAACUAUGCCUGAAUAGGGUGAAGCCAGAGGAAACUCUGGUGGAGGCUCGCAGCGGUUU
rnacentral:rRNA from 1 species